AAUCCGUCGACUUUAUAAGUUGUGAGGGUUCAA
rnacentral:tRNA from 1 species